rnacentral:tRNA from 1 species
GCCGGGAUAGCUCAGUUGGUAGAGCAGAGGACUGAAAAUCCUCGUGUCACGAGUUCAAGUCUCGUUCCUGGCAUCA